rnacentral:rRNA from 1 species
UGAAAAGAACUUUGAAAAGAGAGUGAAAAAGUACGUGAAAUUGUUGAAAGGGAAGGGUUUGAGAUCAGACUCGAUAUUUUGUGAGCCUUGCCUUCGUGGCGGGGUGACCCGCAGCUUAUCGGGCCAGCAUCGGUUUGGGCGGUAGGAUAAUGGCGUAGGAAUGUGACUUUACUUCGGUGAAGUGUUAUAGCCUGCGUUGAUGCUGCCUGCCUAGACCGAGGACUGCGAUUUUAUCAAGGAUGCUGGCAUAAUGAUCCCAAACCGCCCGUCUUGAAACACGGACC